rnacentral:rRNA from 1 species
GUUUGAUCCUGGCUCAGGACGAACGCUGGCGGCGUGCCUAAUACAUGCAAGUCGAGCGGACCGACGGGAGCUUGCUCCCUUAGGUCAGCGGCGGACGGGUGAGUAACACGUGGGUAACCUGCCUGUAAGACUGGGAUAACUCCGGGAAACCGGGGCUAAUACCGGAUGCUUGAUUGAACCGCAUGGUUCAAUCAUAAAAGGUGGCUUUUAGCUACCACUUGCAGAUGGACCCGCGGCGCAUUAGCUAGUUGGUGAGGUAACGGCUCACCAAGGCGACGAUGCGUAGCCGACCUGAGAGGGUGAUCGGCCACACUGGGACUGAGACACGGCCCAGACUCCUACGGGAGGCAGCAGUAGGGAAUCUUCCGCAAUGGACGAAAGUCUGACGGAGCAACGCCGCGUGAGUGAUGAAGGUUUUCGGAUCGUAAAACUCUGUUGUUAGGGAAGAACAAGUACCGUUCGAAUAGGGCGGCACCUUGACGGUACCUAACCAGAAAGCCACGGCUAACUACGUGCCAGCAGCCGCGGUAAUACGUAGGUGGCAAGCGUUGUCCGGAAUUAUUGGGCGUAAAGCGCGCGCAGGCGGUUUCUUAAGUCUGAUGUGAAAGCCCCCGGCUCAACCGGGGAGGGUCAUUGGAAACUGGGGAACUUGAGUGCAGAAGAGGAGAGUGGAAUUCCACGUGUAGCGGUGAAAUGCGUAGAGAUGUGGAGGAACACCAGUGGCGAAGGCGACUCUCUGGUCUGUAACUGACGCUGAGGCGCGAAAGCGUGGGGAGCGAACAGGAUUAGAUACCCUGGUAGUCCACGCCGUAAACGAUGAGUGCUAAGUGUUAGAGGGUUUCCGCCCUUUAGUGCUGCAGCAAACGCAUUAAGCACUCCGCCUGGGGAGUACGGUCGCAAGACUGAAACUCAAAGGAAUUGACGGGGGCCCGCACAAGCGGUGGAGCAUGUGGUUUAAUUCGAAGCAACGCGAAGAACCUUACCAGGUCUUGACAUCCUCUGACAACCCUAGAGAAAGGGCUUCCCCUUCGGGGGCAGAGUGACAGGUGGUGCAUGGUGUCGUCAG